AGUAAUGUAUGGGGGACUGCCUGAUGGGGGGGGAUAACUACUGGAAACGGUAGCUAAUACCGCAUAACGUCGCAAGACCAAAGAGGGGGACCUUCGGGCCUCUUGCCAUCGGAUGUGCCCAGAUGGGAUUAGCUAGUAGGUGGGGUAAUGGCUCACCUAGGCGACGAUCCCUAGCUGGUCUGAGAGGAUGACCAGCCACACUGGAACUGAGACACGGUCCAG
rnacentral:rRNA from 1 species